rnacentral:tRNA from 1 species
UCCCCGAUAGCUCAGUUGGUAGAGCAAGGGACUGUUAGACCGUGGGACGCUGGUUCGAGCCCAGCUCGGGGAGCCA